rnacentral:lncRNA from 1 species
GUGGGUAUAACCAUUGGAGACUCUGAAAAAGGCACGCCACUCUUAAACAUUAUUAUGUCUUAGUUUUCUCAUAAAUGGGUGGGGUGAGAACUGUCUUGACUUGCUAUCAGAUCAGGAAAAACUGAAGGUAUAGAGCCAGUUUAAGAUAACACAACAACUGAAGAGCUUGAAUCAGCUUUUACACCAGGGGGUGAAGUUGGAUUCAAUGUUACUAUUGAUUUUGAGAAAUCAGGUCUUGAAGCUACCAGCUCAGGCUCCUCAUUGGCACUGCACCAGUGUAUUCAUUUUAUUAUGCUCGCUUAGUUAACAAAAAAUUAGAAAAUCAUUCUUCAAGGGUGUGAAUUUGGUUACUUCCCUGAAGAACAAAACAUAUCUUGUUCAAAUGCCAUAUGUUUGGUGGAAAACCAAUGAUUUGUUAUAGCCAUGCCGCCUAGAUGCUUAUGGAGAUUUUCUUAUUCAUGAAUUCGAUCUUGUAGCGCAUGUAGUAAAAGAAAGUGCUACAUUUUCCACUGAUGUGUUGCUGUAGAUCCUAAAUUUGAGAAGAUUUUGGAGCUGCCAACUUACUUGCUAAUGAAUUAAUUUUAUAAGUUGUUUAGUUUUGCCUCCAAUUAAACAAUGAAAGUGUGUUUUUG